rnacentral:rRNA from 1 species
GACGUAGGGCGCGAGCGUUGUCCGGAUUUAUUGGGCGUAAAGAGCUCGUAGGCGGCUUGUCGCGUCGUCCGUGAAAACCUGCAGCUUAACUGUGGGCCUGCGGUCGAUACGGGCAGACUUGAGUUCGGUAGGGGAGACUGGAAUUCCUGGUGUAGCGGUGAAAUGCGCAGAUAUCAGGAGGAACACCGGUGGCGAAGGCGGGUCUCUGGGCCGAUACUGACGCUGAGGAGCGAAAGCGUGGGGAGCGAACAGG